UGGAAACAAGGACUAUUAGUUCUUUGAAAGAGGAAAACCUCCCCCUCGCAUGGGCAUGUUGACUAGAUUUCGUGGAAGAAAUUUAAGUCAAUACCCUUCGAUCAAGAUCAAAAUCAAAAUGUAUUGUACUGGUGUUGUAUUUUCCUUGUGGCGUUCCAAUAUGAUGGUGCACCUAUUCAGUGAUUCAAUAUCACCGAUUAUAAAUAGUAAAUACCAUCUUUUGUUA